CCUCGGCGAUGACCUGAGGACAGAUCAAGUGCACAUGGCAGUCGAUGGCACCCGCGGUGACAAUGCGCCCGUUUCCGCCAAUGAUCUCGGUGGACGGUCCGACCACUAAGUCGGGAUGAAUACCCGACAUGAUGUUGGGGUUGCCGGCCUUGCCGAUUGCGACGAUGCGCCCGUCACGGAUGCCGAUAUCCGCCUUGAUGAUUCCCCAGUAGUCAAUGAUUACCGCGCCGGUGAUCACGGUGUCGGGCGCGCCCUCGGCCCGCGUGACACGCCCCUGGCCCAUGGACUCGCGCAG
rfam:Mycobacterium marinum M, complete genome.